rnacentral:rRNA from 1 species
CAGGUCUUGACAUCCUCUGACAACCCUAGAGAUAGGGCGUUCCCCUUCGGGGGACAGAGUGACAGGUGGUGCAUGGUUGUCGUCAGCUCGUGUCGUGAGAUGUUGGGUUAAGUCCCGCAACGAGCGCAACCCUUGAUGUUAGUUGCCAGCAUUUAGUUGGGCACUCUAACGUGACUGCCGGUGACAAACCGGAGGAAGGUGGGGAUGACGUCAAAUCAUCAUGCCCCUUAUGACCUGGGCUACACACGUGCUACAAUGGGCGGUACAAAGGGCAGCGAAACCGCGAGGUUAAGCGAAUCCCAUAAAGCCGCUCUCAGUUCGGAUUGCAGGCUGCAACUCGCCUGCAUGAAGCCGGAAUUGCUAGUAAUCGCGGAUCAGCAUGCCGCGGUGAAUCCGUUCCCGGGCCUUGUACACACCGCCCGUCACACCACGAGAGUUUGUAACGCCCGAAGUCGGUGGGCGAACCUUUAUGGACGCAGCCGCCGAAGGUGGGACAGAUGAUUGGGGUG